rnacentral:rRNA from 1 species
UGGGAACCUUCCCUAUGGUUCGGAAUAGCUCAGGGAAACCUGGGGUAAUACCGGAUAAGCCCUUCGGGGGAAAGAUUUAUCGCCAUUGGAUGGGCCCGCGUAGGAUUAGCUAGUUGGUGAGGUAAUGGCUCACCAAGGCGACGAUCCUUAGCUGGUCUGAGAGGAUGAUCAGCCACACUGGGACUGAGACACGACCCAGACUCCUACGGGAGGCAG